rnacentral:rRNA from 1 species
GAUGAACGCUGGCGGCGUGCCUAAUACAUGCAAGUCGAGCGAACAGACGAGGCGCUUGCUCCUCUGACGUUAGCGGCAGACGGGUGAGUCACACGUGUAUACCCUACCUAUCUGAGUGGGAUCACUUCGGAACACCGGCGCUAAUACCGGAUAAUCUCUUGAACCACAUGGUUCAUUAGUGAAUUACGGUUGUUCUGUCACUUCUAGAUGGUUCCGCGCCGCAUUAGCUAGUUGGUAAGGUAACGGCUUACCAAGGCUACGAUGCGUAGCCGACCUGAGAGGGUGAUCGGCCACACUGGAACUGAGACACGGUCCAGACUCCUACGGGAGGCAGCAGUAGGGAAUCUUACGCAAUGGGCGAAAGCCUGACGGAGCAACGCCGCGUGAGUGAUGAAGGUCUUCGGAGCGUAAAGCUCUGUUAUUAGGGAAGAACAAAUGUGUAAGGAACUAUGCACGGCUUGACGGUACCUAAUCAAAAAGCCACGGCUAACUACGUG